CAAAGGCUUCCUCGGGACACGGUCAGAAGACGAGAGCUUCACAGCGUCUGACAUUACAAGACAACAAUGGCUACGUCCUCACAGACCGGGGGAAACGUCCACCGGGCAUGGACGCCGGGCAACUUUCGAGGUCUCGUGUUUCCUCUAAGUAAAAAAAGGGUAUUCUGGUACCUGAGCGCUCGGCCACAUGGGUCAGAGGUCAGUCAAGGCAAAGGGGAAGGGGAGGGGUUGUGAACUCCAGAUGCCAGAGCUGGAACAGACCCUCAGUGUGCGGGUGGCAACGUUCACAGGACUAUAUUUAGCCUGCUGGAGAGGAAACGUGUGUUCUUGCUGAGGAUCACAACGCAAGACAUGAGCGGAGCUUGCGUCGUUCCUCGUGCACCUGUCAAAGAGGCAGCUGCGUGGCUUCCCUCAGAGACACUGGCAGUCACCACCCCCGUGGCCGCACCCAACUUUCAGUCCUCAACUCUAACUUUCCUCAUCCACCAAUCUUUCAUCCUCGCUCAAAUUAAUGGGGAAAUCGUCGCUUUCUCAGUCCGAAUCGCUCUCGCUGCUGGUGGCCAUGAUUGUAAAAUGUAGAAUAAAUGGAAAGUACACGGACCUACAUGGACCCUUCCGGUUCAAUUUGUCAUCACACAGACAACAACGCAUUUUUGCAUUUUGGAUGAUUUUAUUUUCGAUUUUUGUGUUUAGCUGGAAAAACAAAAAAAUCCUUAAAAAGGAAAACAACACAAAAUCCAAUUUUAUAGCAAUAUUUUAAUGAAAAUCAACCCCUUUUUGUUUGUUUCAAAAUCUGCCAUCCAUCCAUUUUCUACCAAUUGUCACUUUGGAGUCGCGGGGGGCGCUGGUGCCUAUCUUAGCUACAAUCGGGCGGAAGGCGGCGUACACCCUGGACAAGUCGCCACCUCAUAAAAAUCGAAAAACAGCCCUAAUUUUGUUUUUUGAUUUGCGUAUUGAGAAUUAGAAACAGAAUGAACGGAAAGUACCUGGACUUUUUUGUUUCAUUUUGUCAUCACACAGAUGAUUGUAUUUUCAAUAUUUGUAUUUAGCUGGAAAAUAAAAAAAUCCAUCAAAGGAAAACAGCACAAAAUUGAAAUAAAAAUUAAAAAAUUUCGCAAUUUUUUUUUUCUUUUCCAUUUGCGUUUAAGAAUUGGAAAUAGAAUGAACGGAAAGUACACGGAUCUACACAAACCCUUCUGGUUUAAUUUGUCAUCACACAGAUAACCACGCAUGAUUUAUUUUCGAUGUUUGUGUUUAUCUGGAAAAAUUAAAAAAAUCCAUAAAAGGAAAACAGCACAAAAUUGAAAAAUAUCCCUAAUUUUGUUUUUUAAUCUGCGUUUAAGAAUUAGAAAUAGAAUGAACGGAAGGUCCACGGACCGCAUGUGAUUGGUAUUGGUACCGGUAUCGGCCGAUCUCACUCAUAGAUGUAUCGGAACCGGCAGCAUCAAACAUCCCUAGUGCUGAGUAGUCAGAGGGGAAAGGAACAUUUCAAAGUAAGUGUGGGCUGGAACAAAAACAAUAGCAAUGUUGUGUCAUUGAAUGACGGAUCACUGCGCCUGCUAUUUAAAUUCAAACGUAGACAAAAGUUCACUUUGUUCACGAAAGAGAACCCUGAUGAUUCACAGAAGAUGAUUCUUAAUGACUAAGGAAGUAAAAGAAAAGCCGAGUGGGUUUUAGUUUCCUGCAGUCAUUCAGGAAUGCUGUGAAACAUCAGCGGCGGGUG